rnacentral:rRNA from 1 species
CAAUAGCGUAUAUUUAAGUUGUUGCAGUUAAAAAGCUCGUAGUUGGAUUUUGGGUGCGGCAGGCCGGUCCGCCGAUUCGGUGUGCACUGGCAGGCGGCAUCUUUCUGUCGAGGACGCGCUCCUGGUCUUGACGAUCGGGACGCGGAGUCGGCGAUGUUACUUUGAAAAAAUUAGAGUGUUCAAAGCGGGCCUACGCUUGAAUAUAUUAGCAUGGAAUAACACCAUAGGACUCCUGUCCUAUUCUGUUGGUCUUCGGGAUGGGAGUAAUGAUUAAGAGGAACAGUUGGGGGCAUUCGUAUUUCAUUGUCAGAGGUGAAAUUCUUGGAUUUAUGAAAGACGAACUUCUGCGAAAGCAUUUGCCAAGGAUGUUUNCAUUAA